AUUGAACGCUGGCGGCAGGCCUAACACAUGCAAGUCGAACGGUAGCAGGAAGAAGCUUGCUUCUUUGCUGACGAGUGGCGGGCGGGUGAGUAAUGUCUGGGAAACUGCCUGAUGGAGGGGGAUAACUACUGGAAACGGUAGCUAAUACCGCAUAACGUCGCAAGACCAAAGAGGGGGACCUUCGGGCCUCUUGCCAUCAGAUGUGCCCAGAUGGGAUUAGCUAGUAGGUGGGGUAACGGCUCACCUAGGCGACGAUCCCUAGCUGGUCUGAGAGGAUGACCAGCCACACUGGAACUGAGACACGGUCCAGACUCCUACGGGAGGCAGCAGUGGGGAAUAUUGCACAAUGGGCGCAAGCCUGAUGCAGCCAUGCCGCGUGUGUGAAGAAGGCCUUCGGGUUGUAAAGCAAUUUCAGCGGGGAGGAAGGGGGAAUGGUUAAUAACCAUUGCCAUUGACGUUACCCGCAGAAGAAGCACCGGCUAACUCCGUGCCAGCCGCCGCAGUAA
rnacentral:rRNA from 1 species